rnacentral:lncRNA from 1 species
CGAAAUAAAAUGCUCUAGGACUAUUCCCAAUCAAUUUAUAUCUCCAGAACAUUAUAGUGCAGUUUUAAUAUUUAUAGAACAUGUUAGCAAAAUAUUAAUCUGAAACGUGAACACAAACAGACAUCAUCUUAAAACUGCCAACUAUAUCUUUUAAUGUGCCUACAACUCUAUGUGCAUAUAGAAAUAAAGUCCAAUCAGUUGUGCAACAAAAUUACUAGACAAAGCAUCAUUCUGCCUAAAAUUAAUGACAAUUUUAACCACAUUUGGGCGACUAGUGAAGCUGUU